AGUGAACGCUGGCGGCAGGCCUAACACAUGCAAGUCGAGCGGCAGCGGGUCGUAGCAAUACGAUGCCGGCGAGCGGCGGACGGGUGAGGAACACAUCGGAAUCUACCCAGUCGUGGGGGAUAACGUAGGGAAACUUACGCUGAUACCGCAUACGACCUGAGGGUGAAAGCAGGGGACCGCAAGGCCUUGCGCGAUUGGAUGAGCCGAUGUCGGAUUAGCUAGUUGGUGGGGUAAAGGCCCACCAAGGCGACGAUCCGUAGCUGGUCUGAGAGGAUGAUCAGCCACACUGGAACUGAGACACGGUCCAGACUCCUACGGGAGGCAGCAGUGGGGAAUAUUGGACAAUGGGCGCAAGCCUGAUCCAGCCAUGCCGCGUGUGUGAAGAAGGCC
rnacentral:rRNA from 1 species